AACGAACGCUGGCGGCAUGCCCAACACAUGCAAGUCGAACGCCAUGGUUUCGGCCAUGGAGUGGCGCACGGGUGAGUAACGCGUGGGAACCUGCCCAGCAGUAUGGGACAACCGCGGGAAACUGCGGCUAAUACCGUAUACGCCCGUCUUUGGGAGACCAGGGGCGGGGAAAGAUUGAUCGCUGUUGGAGGGGCCCGGGUCGGAUUAGGGAGUUGGUGGGGUAAAGGCCUACCAAGCCUGCGAUCCGUAGCUGGUCUGAGAGGAUGAUCAGCCCAACUGGGACUGAGACACGGCCCAGACUCGUACGGGAGGCAGCAGUGGGGAAUAUUGGACAAUGGGCGCAAGCCUGAUCCAGCAAUGCCGCGUGAGUGAUGAAGGCCUUAGGGUUGUAAAGCUCUUUCACACGCGACGAUGAUGACGGUAGCGUGAGAAGAAGCCCCGGCUAACUCCGUGCCAGCAGCCGCAGUAACAC
rnacentral:rRNA from 1 species